rnacentral:rRNA from 1 species
AGUGAACGCUGGCGGUAGGCCUAACACAUGCGAGUCGAACGGCAGCACAGUAAGAGCUUGCUCUUACGGGUGGCGAGUGGCGGACGGGUGAGGAAUACAUCGGAAUCUACUUUUUCGUGGGGGAUAACGUAGGGAAACUUACGCUAAUACCGCAUACGACCUACGGGUGAAAGCAGGGGAUCUUCGCACCUUGCGCGAUUGAAUGAGCCGAUGUCGGAUUAGCUAGUUGGCGGGGUAAAGGCCCACCAAGGCGACGAUCCGUAGCUGGUCUGAGAGGAUGAUCAGCCACACUGGAACUGAGACACGGUCCAGACUCCUACGGGAGGCAGCAGUGGGGAAUAUUGGACAAUGGGCGCAAGCCUGAUCCAGCCAUACCGCGUGGGUGAAGAAGGCCUUCGGGUUGUAAAGCCCUUUUGUUGGGAAAGAAAAGCAGCAGGUUAAUACCCCGCUGUUCUGACGGUACCCAAAGAAUAAGCACCGGCUAACUUCGUG